UUUGUUUCCCCCCUCUCUCUCUCAAGUGAUAUCCUCUCCAACCGCAUCAACCACCCCUUCCCAAAAAAUCCCGACUCUGUCCAAGAUGCGAUGAGAUGAGCAGCGGAAAUCGUUUCCAACAGCGCUAAAACGUCCGCACGGAAAGAGCAAGAACCACGAGGAUACCUUACUUCUCAGAGUUUGCUGUGCGACCACACUGGACUUAUUUGUUUGCUUUAUUUUUUUUCUUUAGUUUUUGGUGUGCGUAAAAGACGCAGCAAACUAUCGUGCCCCGUUUCCCAAACAACACUGGAGAGCAGGGGGGGUUUUUCCACGGGGUGAACUGCAAACUUGAAGGUGCUGCCUCUGGUCAUUUAAUUUAUUUAUUUUUUUAAAAAUAAUAUUAUUAUUACUAUUAUUUUGCCACGAGAAAAGAUGAAGGAAGAUGAGCUCUGAUUGUCGUGAAGGUGUCAGGAGCUGGCCGAAUGCCUUCGUAAUUUCUGAGCCCAUUCUCGCUGUAGCCGAUCCAGCUAUUAAACCAGCAGAAGAGCAGGCAAUUUGAAGAGAAGACUGACAUUUUCAGCUCCGAGAUCAAAAAUCCCUCUUCCCCCGACACGCGGGAUGGUUUUCCACAACUGAUACAGACUUGAAUUGUUUGUAAAUUCCUGCAUGAGAAGCACCGUGGAACGUGACGGUCACUAUGCCGAGGAGAAAGCAGCAAGAGCCGCGGCGAUCAGCAGGUAUAACCCGCCCCUCCGUUUACCAUCAUUUCCCAUCACAGACACACACCAUUCUCCACUUUUACGCACUUCUGUCAAUUUUAACCACAUCUUUCUACUUCUCACAAUCCAGUUGUGUCAUUUAUUUUUCUCUUUAAAUCCAGAUUGUUGUGGUAACUGCGCACAUUCACCUCCUGACCCACACUUGCGUCCAAAUGUGUAUUAAUUGCGCAAAUGACGCAGAUAUCUGCGCAAUGCCAUUAAGCGAGUCAUUUUUAAGAGAAACAUCCUUCUUUGCCAGGAAAGUUCUUUUUAGAACGGUGAGAUAAACUAAAUGGCAUGUUAUGGGGAUAAAAGGGAGCUUUUGAGGUUCAAGAGUGAGUAAUGAUGAAUAAUUGACUGGGAAAGAAGGGGGAGAAAGUGGGGAGAGCUGGGUUUCUUUCCCCCCUUUUCUCUGUUUUAUCAGAGGAUUGCCAUUCUUGAUUUGAUGCCUGAUUGAUCGCCUGUCAUGUGGCAGUCUUUGAUCUGUUCAUCCCUGAUAAACAUCAAUAAAUCCCUCCAUGAAGACAGCCAUGUCUCUGGCUGGGUUUUCAGCGCACACACACACACACACACAAACCUGCUGUUUUUCUCAACCAGUUACCAGAGAGCAAAUAAAGUUAUGAAUCAUGUUGGAAAAUCACCUCAUUUAAUUUUUUUUAUGCAAAUAUGCCAAAAAACAGAUGAAAGAAACGUGUGUGUGCUAAAGAGAUCACGUUUAUAAAAACCAUCCAAAAACACUUGUUUCUUUUUUUUAAAUCAGGUGCUAGAGUAGCAUUUUGCGCUUUUUAACAGCAGAGUGAUGAGUGUUUGAGAGGGUUUUUUUUUGUGCGUUUCCAUCCAAAUUUACCCCACAUUCCCUGUAAGAAUCAGUGGGUAAUGGAAUCAAUAUCCACUGCUGGAGGGUAGUCUAAUAUUUUCAAUGUGACCAACUGAUAAAACCAGGUGUUGGCAGAGAACCGACAAGGAUGACUUCAAGUGGUUUGGAUUUGGACUCCCCCCUUCCUGCUUUCGUCUCCUCGCAGCCUUUAAACAAAUGUAAAUGAGUGACAGGGGUUUCUACCUCUGUGCUAAUGAGGCCGAGCCUUUGAAGUCAGGCAUUAACAACUGGAGUGAACAAAAGACAGUUACAGAAUUUUAAAGAGAUUUUGAAAUAUGAGGUGCAAAGUUGGUCGAACAGGAGGGCCAGCCGACGGAGACUUUGAACUCAGCAGGUUUUUUAUCAUUUUAAGCAGGCAACUGGUGAUGAUAGGGUUGAUGGUGAUGAGGAGGAGGAUGAGACGGAGUGUAGGAUGAGGAACAUUCAACUAGUGCUCGCUGCCAACUUCUUACGCUCUCCCCUUUAGACUCUCUGGCGCAGGAGGAUCCACCUGACGUGUGUCCCACACUGGGAAGUUCAUGUGGAGAUUUUUAGGCUUGAUGCUCUCAUGUGGCGUGUGUGUGUAUUCUGCCAUAUUAGUUGAACAGAGUAGAGUAUUUUCUCCAACCCCCAUGUUAAUGGAGAAACAUGGAAAAUCUGCACAGAUAUGAUUGACCAUUAUAGUCCAAGAUGUGCAAUAGAUCAAUAGUGUGUGUGUGUGUGUGUGUGUGUUUGCUUUGAGGGGGUCACAGAGAUGUCAUGUUUAAUGCAAUAGUCACCAGACAGUGGGUGAGAGAGGUUUAUUCAAAAAUUAGUAGUUCCUCUCUCUCCUUAUAAUUCCAACAGCUAAGGGGACUUUACACUUUUUUUAAAAAAAUAUUCCUACAUUUUAUUUAGGGAAUUUUUUUGACAUUUAAAUUUAUUUACAUCUUUUAGUAUAAAAACAAUGUCUUACGGUACUUUUUUAAGGGCACCAAAAAUUGUUAAAAUUGUACAGUGUGUUUGGAAUGGAUCAUAACAGUCGUUGUUAAAAAUGAGUCAAAUUAUUUCUGCUACACCAUAUCCGUUUGCGGAAGCUUUUAAAACAAUUACGUUCUUUUUAAUUAGACAUAAUUCCAAUUGAUUUACUAUUGUUGUUGUUAUUUUAUUGCAUUAAAACAAAAUUGAUAUUAUUUUCUAAUUCCAGUUCUAAUUACGUUAAGUAGAGAAUUAUUGCCUCGGUUUUAAAGCGCGACUCGUGUGAGUUUAGUUCAGUGUAAAUUCAUAAAAAAAAAGCAGACAUGGGAAAAGUGAGUUUUUUUUCUGAUCAGGAGAAACGCGAGAAAAUUUCGCUCGCAAAUUCAAACAUCAAAGUGUGUGUGUGUGUACGCAUGUGUGUGUCUCAGAGAGAGAAAGACAGAGAGAGAGAGUGUGUGUGUGUGUGUGUGUGUGUGUGUGCAGUAUCUUUGUGGACACACAGUUCACAUUUAUUCUCUUUUACACACGUGCCACUUGUAGCCUCACCUCCCAGUGAAACUGAUCUGGUUUAGAGGCGAUGAAGACGAGAGCCAGAGUUCACAGACAGAAUGGAGCAAAGACGACUCUCGUCCAGGUUCAGGCUCAGAGUGUUAGAGGAAGGACAAGAAGAAGAAAAAGUGGAGAUAAGAUGGACUCGCUCUUAUUUUGUGAAACACGACAGUUAAUUACGAGAAACUGUGUAUGUGUGUGUGUGUGUGUGCAUAUAGUGGGUGGGUUGGGUGGGUGGGUGGAAGGAUGAGUGGAGGUUGCUUCCCGUUGGCUUCAUUAGAGAGAGCCCUAAUUAUCUGUGGAGCUGAUGGAUUUGUGACAGGCCCUAACGAUUAAUGCUGACAAAUUCAGUAAGGUGUCAAGUCCGCAGCUGCCUUGAUGUAAUCAAGUUGAUAUUAUACAGUCCCUAUAGCCUCUAGUGCAGCACCAACUCAAUUUGCCUGUACAGGUGACAAAUGGACUUUGCUACCUGACUAAUCACGUCAGGAGACAAUGCCAGUUAAUGACCUUGCUGAGCCCCUGCCACCACGGCGGCCCCCACCAACACCGCCCCCACCACCACCACUCUUAUAACCUUGUAAUAAGAGUCAGGGCAGCCACGUCACAUCACUACCUUUCCCUCGUUUUCUCUCUUUUCAUAUACGUGUAAAAAAGCAUCCUCCUGUUCCUGUGGAGCCCGCUUUCAACUGUAGUUACUCUUUUCUACCAGGCAACAUUUUUACCCAGAGUUCCAUCUUGGUCUCAGCUGAAAUGUUAAAGUAGUGGAUCCCCCCCCCCACCCCCUUUUUUUUAAAAGCGUUUGACGAGAUUUAUUUAUUUUUAUAUUAAUGACGCAGUUACAGGCCUGCUCUAACCACUUGAUAUAUCAGCACUCAGAGUCAUCCGUGGAACCAUUUUUAAGAGGCAGACAUUCUGCUGAAGUUUUUACACUUUUGCAUGUGUUAUGGGCUGGCUACUAAAUCAGCUCCAUAUCAUAACACAGUCUCCACGCACUUUGGCUGGGCGUCCUCUUAACUCACUGCCUGUAGUCGCCUCGUUGAAGGCCUCCUCUUUAUUUCAAUGUGGAGAAUCACAGUGUCCAGGGAUUAAUUAUUUUUGUAUGCCUGGGAUAUCUAAGAUUACACAGCCAACUGCUUUUAAUGUUACAAGAGUUUCUCCCUUCAAAAUAAUAGCAUGCUGAGAUUCACGUUUUUGGACGACAGUGCACGGCCUCUAUUUGCAAUGUGUUUACUUUUAACGUUUUAAAUUGUUAAUAACAGCCAGCUUUUUGUGAAUCCAAACAACUUUUUGUUUAAAAAAAAAGAAGAAAAAAAAGUCGAUUUCUUUAGAAAAUGUUCAGGCGACUCUUAGAUCCUGAUGUUUUAAUGACUUUACAGAUUCUGCGGAAAAAUUAUUCAUGUUUUAAAUGUGAUGAAUACCGUGUGUGUGUGUGUGUGAGAGAGAGUUGGUGAGCGAGUGUGUGAGAUAGCAGGAGAGGGAAGUGGAUACAGAGGAGGAAAGGGAGAGUGUGUGUAUGUGUAUGUGUGUGUGUGUGCUUUUAGCUUAGCGCUGACCAGUGUUAGAUUUCCUGGAAUGAAUAACUUGAAGGAGUGUAACGGUAACCACGCCAUGUUAGUCAUCCUCUUUAGCAGGCCUGCCUUCUGAUCCUCUCUCUGUUUCCCCCCACAGGAGCAGGAAAGCUGCUUCUAAACAGCCGCUCCACAUAUUUCUCACUGCUGACUGUCAAAUCUGUUCAGCCUUCUCUAUCAAACUGAGGGAUAUCAGACAGUGCAGGAACACAUAUUGAUCCACCGCAGCCUGUUUUACCCCCCCUCACACACACACACACUCCCCCCCUUCAGUUAGACUCUAUGCUUCCAGUGUGUUCCUUCGGUGUGCGGUGUGUGUGUGUGUGUGUGUUUGUACUCAGCUAGAGGUUACGCUAAUUGGAGUGGCGGCGUCGUCGUUAGCAGGUGGCAUCGAUCGACCUCGUCGAUGGCCACUUUUGCUCCUGCGCCACCCUCCGAAACUAAUAGUUAAAUUUACAUCUGGGACUUGAGCCAGUCAAAGGUCAGACAUGCUCAGCUUGCUCUGCUAAUGCUUCAAGUCACCACAAGUGCUCCUGUGUGUGCCUGGGUGUCUGUGCGUAAGUGUGUGAGUGUGUGUGUGUGUGUAUCCUCGGGCGAGCUUUGUGCAUUACUUCCAUUUAUUCUGGUUACAGAAAUUAAAAUUAAAUUCCCUUUUCUUCUAGGGCUGCAUAAAAUAAAACAAACACAAAAUCAGUCUUUAGUUUAGCUUUUUUUUUAAUUGAGUAAAUUAUGUAUCUGAAAAUGAAUGGUGCUAACCAGGUAUAAGCUGCAUGUGUGAAGCUAUUCAUAUCUCUUAUACAUUAGUACAUACCUGCUUUCACACCACGGCUGGAACUAAUGCUGUUCCCUGUCUCUUUUCACAUUUUUUUCUGGGGCAUAUUCAACAUAAGCCUUUAGGGCAAACCCCCUGACACACACACACACACACAUAGUCAACCAUAACCGUAGACAAUCAGACCAACACACAGACACACACCUACAGCUAAUGUUUAAGUGCAGCCAGCAUGUCUCAGUGGGAGGUCAUAAUGGAGGUGGCUUAGUGUGAUGGGAAAUCAUAUCAUUAAAGCAGCCAGAUGUGCUUUGUUGCCUGUCUUGCUGAACAUAAAAACAGCAGCAAGUCAUGGGAUCCAAAAAAUUAAAAGGAAGGGGGAAAACAAGUCUGAAACAGAUAGCAAGCUCUCCUGUAGGACUGGACCGACACAGUUUAAAAUAAAUACAUUAAAAAAAUCUUGCGAAUUUCUUGCGAGCGACACUUGUUUUUUUUUUUCAUAAAAUAUAAAUUAGACUAAAAGAUUUAAAUAAAUGUUUAGUGUGUUUGAUUACUAUGUAAUAAUUGUGUAGUGUUGAGUAAUUACACUUUGUUACUGCUCCGCGGCUAGUAAUGUAAGGCUAAGCAGGUCAUUAAUGAAAAACUGUUGCUAUGGUGCUUUUCUGUUUUUCCUCCCACAUAAUCGCGAGACGUGAGAGGAAAUAAGAGGGGAACCGUUCAAGAGGAGCAGUCUUGCAGCAUUUAGGACAAAAAAAUUGACAUCUGAAAUUUUCUUAAGUGUUACAUUUGCUGAGGGUAAAUAUUUCGCUCUUGAUCAGUGCCGUGCCUCCUCGUGAGGGUAAGAGGAGAGUCUGCUGGAGCCAAAUUUAACAUGUUACUUCUAUCAAUAAAAGAUGAGCAAUUACAGAAUAUUUUGUCUAAUAAGUAUUUGAAUUCCUCAGCGCAGGAAAAAAUACACAUGUAGUUUACUGAUUACAUCAGUUAGCAGGGGGAGUGAGAGGCAGCUCUUUGAUGCCAACAAACAAACAAGGCAGUCGAGAAGGGCCCACUGCAGAGGAGUAGAAGAUCUGUCCAGGGACCACCAACCCCUGCACAGUCCCCGCUCUCCCCCACCUCCCCUCCAUUCACUCACAUAUGCAUCUUAAUUCUCUUGUUUUCUGAUCAUUUUCAUUUGUUUUUAUUUCUUUAAAUUUCCCUUUACUUUUUGAAUAUUUACAUUUUUUGUCACCGUCGAGAUCAGAAAAACAUUUUGCAGUGUGGUGAUGAUACGUGAGGUGAUGGAGAGACAAAAAAAUGUUUGUUGGUUAUAACUCAAAUAAAGUCAAGUGAAAAUUAUUCCAUAGAAAUGAGAGCUGAAAGAGAAUUGUGUGAAGGACAAAGUAAACGACUCUAUCUGUGAACUUGAGGGGUUUGUGAAGGUAUUUUUAGACAAAUCCUGAGUCAUCUCGACCGGGAUUCUAGAAAAUGAACAGCAUUGACAGAAGAGGAAAGGAGGGACAUUUGAGGACUGCAGUCGGCACUAAUAUACAGUCAGAUUAACAAAACAGAAUGGUGUCUGUGUGUGUGGAUGUGCAGUGAAGAGGGGAGAAGAAUUAUGGCAUGGAAUCAGUGUGUUGUGUGUGUUUGUGUGUGUGUGUGUGUGUGUAGAUGUGUUUAGGACUUUUAGGACGGGUAUUAGAGCUGACAGAUGAACGGGACCAUGGACAAAUUCUCCCACAACAGCUGUGACUGGCGCCAUUAUCCUGACAGGUGUCAAUUAAGAAUUACUGCCCGGCCGGCCGAAUGCCCCUCCUGACUCUCGCACAUGUCCCUCCAUCCCUCCAUCCGUACAACGCGCUGAUGCCCUCCUCCCCCUGGUCCAGCUGUCGGCAUACGAGAGAAAUAACACUUUACCCUUGUCGGUGUUGUCACGGGCCCAGCGGUCCCGUGUCUUUUCCUCUGCCGCUCGUUCAAACGGCUACCUGCAGAACACUGUGAUCAAUAGAUCAAUGCAGCUGUGUUCAUGUCAGAAAACGUGCAGACCAUAAUCAUCUGUUGUUGUUUCACAGAUUUAGGCUGGUGUUCGAUGUGAUCUGUGACUGCAUUCUACAGGUAGAGAGAUUACAGCCGUGCUGUUUGUUUGGGUGCAUGCACACACAGUGUGAUAUAUAUCCGUGUGUGUGUGUGUGUGUGUUAAGCUCCUGUAAAGUAGGAUCUCCACUAUGCCCGGAUGUUGGAUUCUAAUUCCGCCCUGUUAAGUGGAGAACUGAGGUCAAUGAGUGAGAAAAUGAACAGUUGCCACUGCCCAUCUCUGAGGCUGCUGCUCUUCACUAAACCACAUGCUGAUAAACACAUUGUGCGGUCAGCAGAUUUGCUGCUGGCUUUAGAGCUGAGAAAAAGUGGAGAGAAAAAAAAAGCGUCGUUUUAGUUCUGGGGAGAGACGUAACAAUAUUCUCUGUAAUAAAAAAACUUUUUUAAUAACAUUUGUAAUUAUAUAGCCCAUAGCUGCGCUGUAUAUACAUGUCAUUUAUGUCAACGUCAGGUGUAACUGUUGACAAUGUGUAGUUAUUAUUUGGCUUCAAUAAUGAAUGCGACCCACUGCCGCUGUAGGAAAAAGAAAAAGGAAAAAAAAAAAACAGGCGACAGAUCAGAGUGAAGAAGGAAACAAAAACAGCAAAGUGAGCGUGAGCGCAGCGAGCUCCCCAGGAAUACACAAAUGGAUUUGCAUGUUCACUUCAUAGUUACAGUUUUGGAUUUCCUCCCUAGAAAUCAUUCGCCACAGAAGAAGCAUGGAAGAUAUUAUCAGUGUUAUUUCACUAUUUCUGCUGUGAAGUAUUUGCAUAUCUCUUGUUUUAAAUAAGGCAACCCGAUUUGGUUUGUUUUCCUGAGCUUCUUCACUCCCCAUCACUUUUUAUCCUCCUCUCUCAUCACAGAGCCAAACCUCAGGUUUCUCCACUUUCUCUCUCUUUUUUUUUAUUGCGUAUCUUCAGGCAGACCCUCCUCCUCCCCCCUUUUCUGUCUCACACUGGCACUCUAUUGCUUGGAGCUGGGUUAUCAAACCUGAAAAUAUUUUCCAUUCCAUGCAAAUCACCCACCAUGCUCUCUUAUCAUUUCUGCUUUGCCCCUCCGUCCCAAAUGGUUGUGUGUAAUCAAAGUAAACGGCGGCUAUAGCAAAAAGGGAAACGCUCUGUGUGGAGAUGGAUGGAGGGAUUAAAUAUUAACUGGAUGCGGCUGACUUAAGGCAAGUGUUUUACAUAGCAGCUCCUGCCGUGCGGAUGCUGCACAUUGAUCCCUCUCGCCCUGGUGCCUUUACUUGUUUGGCUGUCUGCUGUUAAUUUUUCACCAUCAUCUCACUGACCAGGCCUUUGGAACAGAGAGGGAGAGAGAGAGAGGAAGAGAGAGAGAGAGAGAGGCCAAUGAGUGCCUCCCACACCCCACCCUCCCCUGUGCUGUUUACAGGGGCAGGUGAGAUGGAUGAUAGCAAUUUGAAAUUUUGUUUGUGUGUGUGAUCAUGGAGAUUGUUUUUGGUAUUACCAUGGCGUAACCAUCGCAGUGAUUAAUUGAUGCAAGAAUCUCAGGAAUCAGUGGCAGAAACGGAGGUUGCAGGUUCUGCUCCUACCUCCUCCACCUCCUCAUUUUUAUUUUUUGUGUGAAUAUGGUGUUUAUCGGCUGACCUUGGAGUCUGACACUGCCGCCUUCUUAAAUACACACACACUUGUGCGCUUGCAACAACACACUCCCAGGAUCCUGGCCGUACACACUAACUCCCUUGUCAUGUCACUUCCUUCAUUUCCUCAUGCCUCCUUCUUCCUCUGCUCCCGCUGUGAUUAAAAGAGAAAAUCAGACCGCACAAACCAAACCUCGGUCCAAAAAGGAGACUAAACAAAAACAAAAUGGCCACAGUGGCUGCACUAUCCAUGUAGUCGGACAUUAGUGGCAGGAAUGUGCUUUCAUUCGCCGCCCGUUUUCAAUGUGUUUGUUGUCUGUGUGUGUAAAGCCAUAUCCUGUGGGUCACAGAGACAGCUUGUUAACAGGGGGGCUCAUAGCAGUGGUGGUUACCCCCUCCCCCCCCCCCCCCCCUCCAGAAAAACCACACAUACACACAGUUGUUGCACUGCUGCUGUUGACGGCAUUGUGAGGGCCUCCCGGCGUUUAUAAAUGCAGCGUCGUUCCAGCGGCGGAGCUCUACCCUGCAGUCGUCAGACAUGGCCACAACUCAUCACUCAGCCCUAAUGAUGACCCCCUACACACACACACAAACACUCAGGAACACACACACACACUACCCCCCCACAGCCACAGCGCACAUCUGACAGGGUCGUAUGCAGUUCGUGACCCCCAGGUGGCCGCAGUCUGGCCGAUUCCUGCACUCCUCUACAUGUUUUUAUUUCUCUGCUCUCUCUCCCUCUCUCUCUCUCCCUGCCUCUCAGGCUGACUUUACAUUCCAUCUAGGUUCAAACGGUUAUGAGCUUUUUACAGCGUGUAUCAGUGUGUUUCUGCUGGAAGGUGCAAAUAGCUGAUAUUUAUAAUGCUGCCUGCUUUUAAAUCAAUGCUGUUAUGCCACCGAACAUUCCAUCUACUUUGUGCUGCGACCUGAAGUAAAAUGCUAACAUUUUAUAAAGAGAAAAAUAAUCACAAGAGUAAUGACACUGAACACUGUCGUGUAGCGAGCAGUUGUUUAGAGAAAUAAAAUCUGAUUAGAGAUUAGAGAUGGACAUUUAUUUUGGGAUAAUUUAUUGACUGUAAUCGAUAAAAACUAAACAUUCCUGUAGAUGGUUUUUUGUCACUUAACGAUAAUGAUAUCCGUAAAGUUUCCUUUUGUUCGUGAAACCCGACACAUUCGGUUUACUUUUAUCGAGGAGCGGCGAGGCCAGAACAUGUUCACGAAAAGGAAAAA